UGAGGAAUUUUGCGCAAUGGGGGAAACCCUGACGCAGCAACGCCGCGUGAGUGAUGAAGGCUUUCGGGUCGUAAAGCUCUGUCAGGCGGGAAGAAGGUGUUCCGUGUAAAUAGCACGGGAUAUUGACGGUACCGCCGAAGGAAGCACCGGCUAACUCCGUGCCAGCAGCCGCGGUAAUACGGAGGGUGCAAGCGUUAUUCGGAUUUAUUGGGCGUAAAGGGCGCGCAGGCGGCUUGUUAAGUCAGAUGUGAAAGCCCCCGGCUUAACCGGGGAAGUGCAUUUGAAACUGACAAGCUUGAGUAUGGGAGAGGAAAUCGGAAUUCCUGGUGUAGCGGUGAAAUGCGUAGAUAUCAGGAGGAACACCGGUGGCGAAAGCGGAUUUCCGGACCAAUACUGACGCUGAGGCGCGAAGGUGCGGGGAGCAAACA
rnacentral:rRNA from 1 species